UACGGAGGGAGCUAGCGUUGUUCGGAAUUACUGGGCGUAAAGCGCACGUAGGCGGCUUUGUAAGUUAGAGGUGAAAGCCCGGGGCUCAACCCCGGAAUUGCCUUUAAGACUGCAUCGCUUGAAUCCAGGAGAGGUGAGUGGAAUUCCGAGUGUAGAGGUGAAAUUCGUAGAUAUUCGGAAGAACACCAGUGGCGAAGGCGGCUCACUGGACUGGUAUUGACGCUGAGGUGCGAAAAGCGUGGGGGAGCAAACAGG
rnacentral:rRNA from 1 species